rnacentral:hammerhead_ribozyme from 1 species
GCACUGCUGACGAGUCCUAUUCAGGACGAAACAGCUGUCCAGUGC